CCUACGGGGGGCAGCAGUGGGGAAUAUUGGACAAUGGGGGGAACCCUGAUCCAGCGACGCCGCGUGAGUGAAGAAGUAUUUCGGUAUGUAAAGCUCUAUCAGCAGGGAAGAAAGGAAUGACGGUACCUGACUAAGAAGCCCCGGCUAACUACGUGCCAGCAGCCGCGGUAAUACGUAGUGGGCAAGCGUUAGCUGGAUUUACUGGGUGUAAAGGGAGCGUAGACGGUUACGCAAGUCUGGAGUGAAAGGCGGGGGCCCAACCCCCGGACUGCGUGGGAAACUGUAUAACUGGAGUGCAGGAGAGGUAAGUGGAAGUCCUAGUGUAGCGGUGAAAUGCGUAGAUAUUAGGAGGAACACCAGUGGCGAAGGCGGCUUACUGGACUGUAACUGACGUUGAGGCUCGAAAGCGUGGGGAGCAAACAGGAUUAGAUACCCGGGUAGUC
rnacentral:rRNA from 1 species